ACUCCUACGGGAGGCAGCAGUGGGGAAUCUUCCGCAAUGGGCGCAAGCCUGACGGAGCAACGCCGCGUGAAUGAAGAAGGCCUUCGGGUCGUAAAGUUCUGUCGUAAGGGAAGAAGUUUCUUUAUGUGAAUAAUGUAAAGAGUUGACGGUACCUUUCGAGGAAGCUCCGGCUAACUACGUGCCAGCAGCCGCGGUAAUA
rnacentral:rRNA from 1 species